rnacentral:rRNA from 1 species
CGGCGGACGGGUGAGUAACACGUUGGAACCUUCUCCAGAAUCAGGGAUAAGCUCUAGAAAUAGGGUCUAAUACCGGAUAGUCCCGAAAGGGUAAAGCAGCAAUGCGUUCUGGAAGGGGCCUGCGGCCUAUCAGCUAGUUGGUGAGGUAACGGCUUACCAAGGCUAUGACGGGUAGCUGGUCUGAGAGGAUGAUCAGCCACAAUGGGACUGAGACACGGCCCAUACUCCUACGGGAGGCAGCAGUAAGGAAUCUUUCGCAAUGGGGGCAACCCUGACGAAGCAACACCGCGUGGAGGAUGAAGGCGUUUUCGUUGUAAACUCCUUUUCUGAGGGAAUAAAUCUGAAGGUACCUCANGAAUAAGCAACGGCUAACUACGUGCCAGCAGCCGCGGUAAGACGUAGGUUGCAAGCGUUAUCCGGAAUUAUUGGGCGUAAAGAGUUCGUAGGUGGUAUGUUAAGUUGGAUGUCAAAACUUUAAGCUCAACUUAAAGUAGGUGUCCAAAACUGGCAAACUGGAGACAGGUAGAGGUAAGUAGAAUUCUGUAUGUAGGGGUAAUAUCCGUAGAUAUACAGAGGAAUACCAAAAGCGAAGGCAGCUUACUGGACCUGUUCUGACACUCAAGAACGAAAGCGUGGGGAGCAAACGGGAUUAGAUACCCCGGUAGUCCACGCCCUAAACUAUGAACACUAGGUGUUGAGGGUCUCGACCCCCUCAGUGCCGACGCUAACGCAUUAAGUGUUCCGCCUGGGUAGUACGGUCGCAAGACUAAAACUCAAAGGAAUAGACGGGGACCCACACAAGCGGUGGAGCAUCUGGUUCAAUUCGAUAGUAAGCGAGGAACCUUACCAAGGCUUGACAUCCCGGGAAGGCUGCCGAAAGGUGGCUGUGCCGUAAGGAACCCGGUGACAGGUGCUGCAUGGUUGUCGUCAGCUCGUGCCUUGAGGUGUUCGGUUAAGUCCGUGAACGAGCGCAACCCUUGUCCUAAGUUGCUUUUUUCUUAGGAGACUGCCGGCUCUAAGUCGGA